CUGCUUGUAGCAAUACCUGUUCCUCAUCCACUUAAGGACAGGAUUACAUCUGUGACAUACUAAAUUUAAAAGAAAUAUUAGGGCUGCCAACCUUAGAACAAAGGUUAUCUAGAAGUGUAUGUCUCUUUUAAAA
rnacentral:snoRNA from 1 species